AUAAAAAGCACUAUUGAGUGCAGCGUUGAUGAAGAGAGAAAACCCACCCUCAACAAUUGGGUUUCAUCAGGGCUGCAUUCAAUAAUGCCUUCG
rnacentral:pre_miRNA from 1 species